CAGAGUUGCAAAACUCCCAAACCAUUGUGAGCGUUACCUUUACCGUUGCUUCGGCGGGCGGCCCGGGUCCUGCCCGGCGCCCCUCGGCCCUCGCGGGCGCCCGCCGGAGGUAAACCAAACUAUUGCAUUGUAUGGCCUCUCUGAGUCUUCUGUACUGAAUAAGUCA
rnacentral:misc_RNA from 1 species